UCCACGCCGUAAACGAUGAUGGCUAGCUGUUGGCGAUACACAGUCAGCGGCUGAGCGAAAGCGGUAAGCCAUCCACCUGGGGAGUACGGUCGCAAGAUUGAAACUCAAAGGAAUUGACGGGGGCCCGCACAAGCGGAGGAACAUGUGGUUUAAUUCGAUGAUACGCGAGGAACCUUACCUGGGCUAGAACGCUUCUGGAGUGUACGGGAAACUGUACAGCCCUUCGGGGCCGGGAGCGAGGUGCUGCAUGGUUGUCGUCAGCUCGUGCCGUGAGGUGUCGGGUUAAGUCCCAUAACGAGCGCAACCCCUACUGCUAGUUGCC
rnacentral:rRNA from 1 species